CAUUUUUCAAUGAAGACUCUUCCUUUUUCCAUUUUUCUUAUUUUGGGUUCUGUUUUCUUUUGAGAUGAUGAUGAUGAAGCCAUUGUGUGAUUCCAUCAUGCUGAGAGGCUGAAGCAGGAUGAUCACAAGUUCAAGACCAGCCUGGGCAACUUAGCAAGACUCUUCCUCUUGACUAUGCCAUGGGUCAGAGUUUUCGAGAGUGACUCUCGCCUCACCUUACCUCAGGCAUUCUUCAGUGUAAAGAGCUUAAACAUACUUCUCCAAACACAUCCCAGAGGAGCCAGCCACGAGAAAGAGAUUUGUCAUACACCUUACACACCGAGGAACCUGUGAAGGAUGCAGGACAGGUGUGUAAGAAAGAGGAGCCACACCGUAGAACACAGCUGAGGAAGAGGCUGGAAGCAGGAAGUUACUGAGGGCCAAGCAUGAAGUAGCAUUGCCUUAAGUCGGAAAGGUGAGUCAGAGCCAGGCGGCAGAGCAGCAUGAGAGAGAAGCAGCACUAACUAUAAAGGAGAAGCUUUGUCGUUUUCUUUGAGGAUGGUCAAGGAUUGUGUCAAUGUGUCACAGUCCAGUAGGUCGGAGAAUGGAAACAUUAUAAUGACGAAUCCAGAAAAGGUCUGAGCAACGUAAGGAAGAAAAUUGGCAAUGUACAACAGGUAGCUGGAAAUGGAGCAGUAAAGUUUAUAAGUGUAUACAGAG
rnacentral:lncRNA from 1 species